ACUACGAGCAAUAGCUUAAAAACCCAAGAAUUUGGCGGUGUCUUAUUCAAUCAGAGGAACCUGUCUCGUAAUCGAUAGCCCACGAAUAAUCUACCUAUCUUUAAAAUAUAGCUUGUGUACUGCCGACUCAUAGGCCCUUAAAGUAACCUAUAAACAAUUCUUAUAAAAUUAUAUGUCAGGUCAAAGUGCAGCUAAUAUAUAGGAGAAGAUGGGUUACAGUCUAUAUAAUAGACAAAGGUAUUAAAUAACAUAAUUUAUCUAAGAAGAAUUUGAUAGUAAUGAUAUUUAUAAAAUAACAUGAAAAUGAACUUAAGACAA
rnacentral:rRNA from 1 species